rnacentral:snRNA from 1 species
AUGUCUCGUUUGUUUCACGA